rnacentral:lncRNA from 1 species
UAGGAGCCCCAAAAACCUAUCAAUCGGUGAAGAUUGGGUCUUCAUUUGUUUAUUGUCUUACCUUGUGCAUCCAGUGCCUUGUGUUAGUCAAGCUUCACCAGCCACAGAUCACCUCUAAGAGAACUCAAUGGUAGUGGUGGUGAGUUUGGCUUUGGAUUUCAAUCCUUUGGCCUUAUCAGUCAGUAGCUAAGAGUACUUCCCACCUUAGUUUCUUAAAGUGUUACCCUUGGUCCUUUGCUUUAUGUACCAUCUACCAUAAUAUUUACUGAAAGACCAUUCACAAGCCAGUCAUGGUAGUACAUACCUGUAAUCCCAGCCCUUGGGAGACUGAGACAGGAAAGUAAUGAGUUCUAGUCCAGUCUGGGCUCCAUAGUGAGAUCUUGUCUCAGAAAAGUACCUGGCUUAAAUAUGACUGUAGUAACAUUCAAGGAGGAGCAGAGCAAUGGAUGCUUGGCUCUUAAGAAUGGGUCUAAUGCAGAAGAGCUGAGGCAGACAGUCUCACUUCACGACCAGCUUGUUUCCCUUCCAUUGCAGUUUGCUCUUUACCAUUGCUGGACAGCCCCAUCAGCCCCCUCCCUGGUCCCAGCGUCACAGCUGAAGGUUUUGACUGUGAUGGGCUCACACUUAUAAUGGCCUAUUGAGUUGUUUUUAGUGACAGCUUUUGUUUGCUACACACCUCAUUGGCUUGCUUACCAACCAUCUAGAUGUGGUCCCUUCUCUCAUAUUCAAGCCAGAACACAUUUGGGUAUUCCUGAGACUAGAGAGUGUGUAUUGUUUGUUAUAUAAACCUAACCUACCUUGUUGUUUUCUCAUAUUAAGAACGGUAAAUCUACUUUAUAUUAAUGGAACUAUUUUGGUAAUACAUAAGCAAUUUUGGUUUUGUUUAGAGUGGAUUCAAGGUUUCCAUGACUUCAUUUGAGCUUUACUUACUUCCUAUCAAUAUAGCCAUUUUAAUUUAUCUAAAUAAAACAUUACGUUUCU